rnacentral:misc_RNA from 1 species
AUAUAAGUUAAUUAAUUUUGUGCAAAUUUUAAUAUAAAUAUUUAACGUUAUAUAAAGUCAAACUUAUAUUAGAUACAUUAGUGGCAUUUACUUACAUCAAAUUAUAUGAAAAAGAUAUCUCUCUCUCAUCUACCAACCGAUGCAGUGCAUUAGUUGUUAAAUUUAAGUAUCAAAUUGAAUUCAUUCUCUAAAUUGAUCAAACUGACUAUUAAAAAAGAUCGGCGAAGAAGUAUAUACAUAUAUACAUAUUUCUUGUGUUGUAAUUCCAGUUCUUGGUCGAGUGGGAGAGCAAAACUUCUCAUGCUUACAGUUUCUAUCGUUCACGUAAUUACGUAGAUAGGACCAGGUGGCAGUUGUGACUAUACUUAGGAGCUUUGUUCUCAUCCAACCAAAUAUUUCGGGCAAUGGCGUAUGCAUCUUCAAUUAUUUCCUGUUGCAUUUGCUUGUGAAUUUGCGAAACCUAUGCUUUGCUUUAGUUUGGUGGAUCUGUGGAUUUGUGGGUCUCUUUCAAUCCCAUCCUCCUAUUCUUUUCCUGAUAUUGAACUUUCCCUGGAUUUCUGUAACAAGAAGCACCCAAGAUCUUAACAAGAUUUACUGAAACGUAUAUAUAAUUUCAUAGUUUCUUCUCAUGAUCCAUUUCAAACAUGACUAGAUGUUUCAGCUUCACAGCUUCCCGUGAUUGGUUCUAUCGUUACUCAUUUGGCAACGCCGGUCUCCGAUCAAUCUCCUCCGAUUUCGGAGAUGGCACCAUCAUGCAUUGUUGGGUGCCAAGAACCAGGAAAUUAUCUAAACCAAACCUUGUUCUUGUCCACGGCUUUGGUGCCAAUGCAA